rnacentral:rRNA from 1 species
GAUGAACGCUGGCGGCGUGCCUAAUACAUGCAAGUCGAGCGAACGGACGAGAAGCUUGCUUCUCUGAUGUUAGCGGCGGGCGGGUGAGUAACACGUGGAUAACCUACCUAUAAGACUGGGAUAACUUCGGGAAACCGGAGCUAAUACCGGAUAAUAUUUUGAACCGCAUGGUUCAAAAGUGAAAGACGGUCUUGCUGUCACUUAUAGAUGGAUCCGCGCUGCAUUAGCUAGUUGGUAAGGUAACGGCUUACCAAGGCAACGAUGCAUAGCCGACCUGAGAGGGUGAUCGGCCACACUGGAACUGAGACACGGUCCAGACUCCUACGGGAGGCAGCAGUAGGGAAUCUUCCGCAAUGGGCGAAAGCCUGACGGAGCAACGCCGCGUGAGUGAUGAAGGUCUUCGGAUCGUAAAACUCUGUUAUUAGGGAAGAACAUAUGUGUAAGUAACUGUGCACACCUUGACGGUACCUAAUCAGAAAGCCACGGCUAACUACGUG